rnacentral:rRNA from 1 species
AACGAACGCUGGCGGCAUGCCUAACACAUGCAAGUCGAACGAGAUCCUUCGGGGUCUAGUGGCGCACGGGUGCGUAACGCGUGGGAAUCUGCCCUUAGGUUCGGAAUAACAGUUAGAAAUGACUGCUAAUACCGGAUGAUGACGUUAAGUCCAAAGAUUUAUCGCCUGAGGAUGAGCCCGCGUAGGAUUAGCUAGUUGGUGUGGUAAAGGCGCACCAAGGCGACGAUCCUUAGCUGGUCUGAGAGGAUGAUCAGCCACACUGGGACUGAGACACGGCCCAGACUCCUACGGUAGGCAGCAGUGGGGAAUAUUGGACAAUGGGCGCAAGCCUGAUCCAGCAAUGCCGCGUGAGUGAUGAAGGCCUUAGGGUUGUAAAGCUCUUUUACCCGGGAUGAUAAUGACAGUACCGGGAGAAUAAGCCCCGGCUAACUCCGUG